CGGACGGGUGAGUAAUGUCUGGGAAACUGCCCGAUGGAGGGGGAUAACUACUGGAGACGGUAGCUAAUACCGCAUAACGUCGCAAGACCAAAGAGGGGGACCUUCGGGCCUCUUGCCAUCGGAUGUGCCCAGAUGGGAUUAGCUAGUAGGUAAGGUAACGGCUUACCUAGGCGACGAUCCCUAGCUGGUCUGAGAGGAUGAUCAGCCACACUGGGACUGAGACACGGCCCAG
rnacentral:rRNA from 1 species